CAGUAGCCGCGGGAAAACAGAGGGUGCGAGCGUUAAUCGGAUUUACUGGGCGUAAAGCGUGCGUAGGCGGCUUUUUAAGUCGGAUGUGAAAUCCCUGAGCUUAACUUAGGAAUUGCAUUCGAUACUGGGAAGCUAGAGUAUGGGAGAGGAUGGUAGAAUUCCAGGUGUAGCGGUGAAAUGCGUAGAGAUCUGGAGGAAUACCGAUGGCGAAGGCAGCCAUCUGGCCUAAUACUGACGCUGAGGUACGAAAGCAUGGGGAGCAAACAGGAUUAGAUACCCGGGUAGUCCCUGUCUCUUAUAA
rnacentral:rRNA from 1 species